rnacentral:rRNA from 1 species
GACGUAGGAUGCAAGCGUUGUCCGGAAUUAUUGGGCGUAAAGAGCUCGUAGGCGGUUCGGUAGGUCGGGUGUGAAAACUUUGGGCUCAACCCAAAGCGUGCACUCGAUACCGCCAUGACUAGAGUUCGGUAGGGGAGUGGGGAAUUCCUAGUGUAGCGGUGAAAUGCGCAGAUAUUAGGAGGAACACCGGUGGCGAAGGCGCCACUCUGGGCCGAAACUGACGCUGAGGAGCGAAAGCGUGGGUAGCAAACAGG